rnacentral:rRNA from 1 species
CGCAAGCCUGACGGAGCAACGCCGCGUGUGGGAAGAAGGCUCUUGGGCUGUCAACCACUUUUCUCAGGGAAGAAGUCCUGACGGUACCUGAGGAAUCAGCCUCGGCUAACUCCGUGCCAGCAGCCGCGGUAAUACGGAGGAGGCAAGCGUUAUCCGGAAUUAUUGGGCGUAAAGCGUCCGCAGGGGGCACAUCAAGUCUGCUGUUAAAGGCUGGAGCUUAACUCCGGUAGAGCAGUGGAAACUGGUGUGCUAGAGGGCGACGGGGGUAGAGGGAAUUCCCAGUGUAGCGGUGAAAUGCGUAGAGAUUGGGAAGAACACCGGUGGCGCAAGCGCUCUACUGGGUCGCACCUGACCCUCAGGGACGAAAGCUAAGGUAGCG